UUUAGUUGUCGGCCUUGGAUGAUGAGGUCCAGUUACCAGGAGCACUAGUCUGCAGUUUACUGGUUCCGUCCUGCAGCUCCUCCACGCUGUCCUCCUCUCUACAGACCAAAUCAAGAAAAGGGAACCAGGAAGCUGCUGUGGAUCCUCUGCAGUAUCUGGAGAGGUCAGAGGAACGGUUCUUGGAACAGAUCGGAAGACACCAAGACGUGACCUCUGCCAUUCUCCAGAACAUCCAGAAGAUGAAUGAAAACCUUGGUUGCACUGAUGGGACGCAUGGUGUCGGUGCUGGAGCAACUGUCCCAGAAUUAAACUGCAUUGUUGACUAUUGGCUUUUCUAGAAAAUAAAUCUUUUUUAGUACUUCA